AUUGCAUCAACCUGAUCCAGUCUGUCAAUCUUUUGUUUCCAAAGCUGUUGAUCGCCACUGUCUAAGCCUGUUUUAAGAUGCGUUCUCUGAUUCUUCUUGUACUUGUUGCUGCAAUAGGAUUUGCUGCGGCUCUAUGGAGUGAAUCUUCUUACAAUGAAGAAGUACAGCUUCCUGAAUGUGUAACUGAAUAUUUGGAGUGUAGAACAAACGUUGUCUCUGUGCUCAAAGCCAUAGUGCUUAGAUACGAUGCAAGUGUUAUCCUUCAAUCAAUGAAGGAAGCGGGUUUGUUGCAAAUGAUCGACAGGCUAGCAGCAAACGUUGUCGAUAAAGUGGAUACAAUUGUGAACGAUUUACCUAUUGAAGGUGUCAAUAAUUUACUUGAAGGACUACAAGGAGAAUUAGUGUCAUGGUUUUAAAAAGAAAUCUGUUUAUGACGAAAUAAAAUAAUUUAAGUUUAUGAUGUC